UACGGAGGGUGCAAGCGUUAUCCGGAUUCACUGGGUUUAAAGGGUGCGUAGGUGGGCUGGUAAGUCAGUGGUGAAAUCUCCAGGCUUAACUUGGAAACUGCCAUUGAUACUAUCAGUCUUGAAUACCGUGGAGGUCAGCGGAAUAUGUCAUGUAGCGGUGAAAUGCUUAGAUAUGACAUAGAACACCAAUUGCGAAGGCAGCUGGUUACACGAAUAUUGACACUGAUGCACGAAAGCGUGGGGAUCAAACAGG
rnacentral:rRNA from 1 species